AACGCUAGCUACAGGCUUAACACAUGCAAGUCGAGGGGCAUCACGGGAGUAGCAAUACAACUGGUGGCGACCGGCGCACGGGUGAGUAACGCGUAUGCAACCUACCUAUCAGAGGGGAAUAACCCGGCGAAAGUCGGACUAAUACCGCAUAAAACAGGGGCACCGCAUGGUGAUAUUUGUUAAAGAAAUUCGCUGAUAGAUGGGCAUGCGUUCCAUUAGGUAGUUGGUGAGGUAACGGCUCACCAAGCCGACGAUGGAUAGGGGAACUGAGAGGUUGGUCCCCCACACUGGUACUGAGACACGGACCAGACUCCUACGGGAGGCAGCAGUGAGGAAUAUUGGUCAAUGGGCGAGAGCCUGAACCAGCCAAGUCGCGUGAAGGAAGAAGGAUCUAUGGUUCGUAAACUUCUUUUGCAGGGGAAUAAAGUGCAGGACGUGUCCUGUUUUGUAUGUACCCUGAUAAUAAGGAUCGGCUAACUCCGUGCCAGCAGCCGCGGUAAUACGGAGGAUCCGAGCGUUAUCCGGAUUUAUUGGGUUUAAAGGGUGCGUAGGUGGUUUGAUAAGUCAGCGGUGAAAGUUUGCAGCUUAACUGUAAAAAUGCCGUUGAAACUGUCGGACUUGAGUGUAAAUGAGGUAGGCGGAAUGCGUGGUGUAGCGGUGAAAUGCAUAGAUAUCACGAAGAACUCCGAUUG
rnacentral:rRNA from 1 species